UUUUGUUGCUGAAUGUGGUGGAUUUGAUGCUGUUCCAUUUCAGCGCUCCUGCGCUGGUUCUGCUGGCGGAACAACAGAGCCGCAUCGGCGUUUUUGAGCAACAUCUUCUCCUGCCUGGAGGCCAUCUCAUAGAUGCGAUCCAGGCUUUUAUGUUUUUGAAGCUCAGCUUACCAUCCGAGGAAUAUGGGGAAAAAGGAGAUAAGGGCAGGCCAAGUCCAGAUGUUGGCCAGCAUGACGGCCACUUUUUUGCGCGUGAUUUUCAUUGGGUACAUGAGAGGCUGCGAGAUGGCGUAAUAGCGAUCGACACUGAUGCAGCACAGGUGCAAAAUGGAGACGGUGCAGCAAUAGACGUCGAAGCUGUUCCAGAUAUCACCUAUAGAGCAAAUGCAGGACAGCUGGACUUACACAUGGCGUAGCUAAAUAUCCAUUGACCGAAGAUGAUGACGCUGGCGUUAAAGCCCAUAGCGACCAAUGCGACCAGGAUGUCGGCCAUGGCCAGCGACACAACAAAAUAGUUGGUGAUGAUGCGCAAUUUGCGGAAGCGGGCCACGCUAAUGAUGACGAGCAGGUUGCCGAAAAUGGAGGCGGCGAUGAUGAGACCCAUCAGGAAAGUCUUGACCACCAAUGUCAGCGUCAAGAACCAAUCGACGGCGGCUUCAGCGUCUUCGCUCAGACCACUGCCCAGCUCCGUCUCCAUUAUCGAGUAACCGGUAGCGUCGAAGAGCAACGAGCCGUUGUCUAUUAACGAUUCCGUGUUAACGUCCAUGGCCAUCCCCAGCCCGCUACUAUGGCCAGGAGACCUUUAAAACAUUGGGGAAAGCAAAUAGAAAAUUAAAGCCCCCGACCGAUCGAUACAAACAUUCGAUCUGCGGAAGAAUGAGGCGCACACGAUUCGAGUUCCACAAAGCUCUCAAAUGAUGGUGGAAAACUUUUGACGCACUCGGCAUCGAUUUCCUUCCGGUGCGUUGUAAAUGUACAGGAAGAGGAAAACUGCGCCCCACGGAUCCAAAGUACUUCACCUACUUUGUUAGCGGCUAUUGUAACCCGAUCUCGCAAAUCCGUGCGCAAACUUCUCGGAAGGACCGCACUGUUUCAUCUCGCUGUAUUCAAUCAUUGCUCAUCUCUUCCGUGCUUGAUGUUCCAUCGUCAAGGACGGCCGGGUUAGAGAGUAGUAUUGAAACUGUACGCGGUGACUCUGCAGCGUCCGAAAAGAGAUGAAGCAGUGACCAAGAGGAGAGAAUUAUCGAUCGACCACAUCAAUAAGAAGCGGAAAAAAAAUGGACGGUGCUGCGUCAAAACGGAAGAAGCGUCCCGCAUCCCUGAGGCGAUGGCCAAAAUCGGAUGGAGACGCGCCCAAAUGAUUGUGAGGAUGUCUCCCUGCAGACGCCUUACUUCCUGCACUUCCCGGAUGGUAGAAAGCGGAAGGAGACAACGAUAAUGAAGACGGAUCACUUCAAAAGAAAAGAAAAAAAACUGUACAGAUAUGUAGUUUUCAUUACGUUUUAAGUCGAUGCAGACACGUAGAAACUCUAUUCGAGUUUAAGCUAUUCCUAUAUCUAAUCCAUCAUCGAUAAAGUGGCGAGGAAGAGCCAGGUUAAAGCAGGAAAAAAGAAAAACAUUUUGAUGCAGUGAAAAAGGACAGCUCCACGUAGUGGUUUGCCAGACUGGCUGCAACACUCUUGUGUCGAAAAGUGGAUGAUGCAUUCCACUAGGAGGGCAGCCAUUGUUCGCUCACUGUCAUCUUUCCAAUCUAUAUACUAUGUCAUAUAAAUAUGUAUUUAUAUCUAUAUAGAGAAAGAGCGAGAAAGGCAGCAACCGUCAAGGAGAAAGGGCAUCUACAGCAGACACGAAAAUAGCUGCGGGGAUAUAAAUGUAUGCAUCAGAAAAAAUUCACUGCGCUCUGAUCGGAUGACAAGAAAGCCUACGUUCUUUACAGAUGCACAACACUUUUUGAUGUCAAUGCCAGGAUGUCCUAGAAUCCAUACUAUUCAUCCGCUCUUGCACCUGAUCCGCGGUAUCAGAAGUAAAGCAGAUGGACGUAUAAUAGCCAUAGGAAUUGUAUUUCUAUAACCUACUCACGCAAAUGGAUGUAAACUGCUCCAGUACGCUGGCGAUUACCGUGUUGGGAUAAUCCUGAAUUCUAUUCAUGUCCUUCUUUCAAUGCAAGAAAAGACAACUCAUUCACUAAAAAGAUUCAACAAAAUGCAAAGCUGAACAGAAAAUCAAGGAGCUGCUGUGUAGGACUGAUGCUUUGAAGAGUUUCAUUGGAAAUUGAAUCACUCCGUCUUCUGUGUUCAUGUAUACACACACACACACUGAUUCCACGUCUUACACAUUGUUUGCGUAGCUGACUUGCACGACUUGAUCGUAUCGUCAACUUCUCAUCUAUUGCGUACGAGUCGUGUUUACCCAGUAAGACUCUUUGCCACCGUAUGUCAUCGAAGAGGAGCGCCGAGAAAUUGCACACGUCAACCGGCGUGUGCUGGUAUUCUGAUAUCAAAGUGAUUGUGCUGAGCCAAAAAGGGAAUCGUGUCCCUCUCAUACUUGCCAUUGUUGUGGCACACAUUUCAGGACGGUUAUUGGUUCGCGUUGAUUAUCUGCUCGUAAGUAAACAGAAUACGAGUUGAUUAUACACGGACAACAUGAAAGAAAACAACUUUGACUGUUCAACAUUUUCCAGCUUCAUUGAUUAAUCCCGACAGCGCCCUCAAACGGGCCUAAUGAAUCGCUGAAGCAAGUUAAACGUUCCGUCCAAACAGAUGACAAGCAUCAAGGAAUAAUGGAAACGCAUAACGGCAGUAGAAGCAAUUGAAUGUUAGAAAAGAAACCGUCACUGGAAACCAGACAUCUUUACGUGUUAUUGAUCGGCCCCGUCAUUAGCACCGUCGGAGUCGAAGCUCUUUGUCUUACUUCGUCUGGAAAACGACUCGCAGAGAAGUGUUUUCAACUCGUCGGUGAUAACGAUACGGCUCCAUAUCCGUUGAUCCAGCUUCGUGUUUACUUGUAUAUCGCUAAUGUUCCACCCAUUGGGGCGAUCCGCCGCCGAUCUGCGAAUCGCGUGAAAGGCGGGCCAACCGAAAUUCGGCUAUAACUAUAAUUGGCACGAAGGCGAAAAGGAAAACUAAAUGCACGGCGUGUGGAAGCGGGGAAGAAAAAAGAAAAUUAAGAAACUUCUAUUAUACAACCCGCUACGUAGAGGAAGAACGAAAUGGAAAGGGCCGAGAAAAUCAAUAUAAAGGUUGAUCCGGUUACGUGUUUGAAUUGCCGGUAAAACGAAGACGACGUUCGCCAGAAAGAAAACAGACAGCCCGCAACACUGUGCACCUAAUUCAGCUCGGAGGAGAUUGGCCGUUAGGUUUCUAUAGAAAUUCUACUUUAUUUGGCUGCCUGAAAUAAUAGCAGACAGAAAAUUGGGAUGAAAAAAAAAA